UGCGGUAUGGAGAAGUAGUAUCUCGCUUGGCUCAUAACCAAGAGGUCCUAGGUGCAAAUCCUAGUGCCGCAACAA
rnacentral:tRNA from 1 species